rnacentral:misc_RNA from 1 species
CAUCCCUCCUGCGGUUUCGGAUUCCUAGACACGACGAUCGGACAGGGGGUCGGAAAGCACGGGCACUUGCGCGAGGCCCUUCCCUCCCCCUCCCCAACCCGCCCCGGAUAAGUCUUUUAUCUCGUGCCGUAACUCCUUUAGCGACGAUGCUGCAGCAGAAGCCAGCGCGAUAUAUCCGGCCGCGCCCCUGCUGCGUGGAAAGAGGGGCUCACUGCGCCGCUCCUGAAGCCGCACAGGCCAGAUGGUGGCUCCACGUCCUACCGUCCCUGCGGCGCUGACCAGCGAUCCAUGCAAGCUACUCGAACGAAUGAUCGCGUGACGACGGCCCAGAGCAUCUGGGCGACAGGCUCCAGCCACGGCAUACUGGCUUCGCGUGCUCACCGCUCCACCACGGACCCCGUGGGCCUGCCCCACCACAGCGUAGUGCAGCGGCAGCCAGGUGCCAAAACCCGAGCAGGGCUUGUGAGCUCUACGCUGGCGCGCGUGGCUCGGCAGUCCGCGGCGUGCCACCAUCACGGUGCUUAGGAGAUCCAACGUAGACCCGUGCCGUACUCGCUGGAUCAUGGAUUUCUCGGGCGGGGAGGUCAUACGAGCCACAUGGCGGCCCGCCCUCCAGAGGGCGGUGCACACUCGCCGUUGCGCGGCACCGCAACCAGCUGCGGCUCUCCGUUGCACGCGUGCACCUGGAAGAGAAUCGCCGCCGCCCACCCCCACCCGCUCGGCAGGGACCUCCAGCCAAUGCCAGCGCAUUGACCAACACGUCGCAGGGGUUAUCAAAGUAGCCACGGCUCGACUCGCCAGGCUGAGGGGGAGGGUGCUCGGAGGAGCGGGGCCCGUGAAAGUAUCCUCUGCGCUCCUCCUACACAGCACUGACCGAGUCAGAGCUACCCUACGGCGUCAUCGCGUGGCGGGACGGUGCCGGCAGAAACUGCCGGAGGGACCUUGAGCACGCCUACGUCAAUGCAGCCGCAGCCAUCGUUCGGUACCCGGACAUUACACAGACAGCGGAGACCUGCUCGAAGAGGCGGGGACCCACUGCCCCUCGGCUCCACGGUGCUUCUGCGCCGCACCCGCCUGCCUGUGUUCCGCACUCGCGCGAGGAGGCUGCCCUGUGCAUUCGGCGUGGGAGGCGUACGCGCCGGGCCACGGCGUUGCCGCGACGCUCUGGCAGCCCUCGCCGGGGCAUGCAGGCGGCGACUCGCCCGCUUUGCGAAGCUCCGUUGCUCGCUGGGAAGAGAUGGCGCGGCGCACAUAGACAUCCAGCCAGGAGCGCCCGCGAUGCGCCACGGUAUAGCACCCAUAGAUGCAGCGACAAGACGCUGCGGCCGCGCCUCGUCUGCAGCGAUGGCGCUGAGUGCGAAGCAACGGAGCUGGGGCGCGACCCUGGUGCGAGGACACCCGGAUCGGCCAAGGCACAGGCAGACAAGUGUGGCUCUUGCCACGGACUCGGUCAUCGGUCUCAGGCGUCAGGCCGACAUCCCGCGAAGCCGCGCUGCACGAGGCGACGGGAGACCAUGCUCGCUCAGUCCCGCACCGGCGCCUGCCCGCGCCGCGGAUCCCUGCAACGGCAGGUGACUGGCAUUGGCGGCAUGGGGUGCGGAUGGUGUGCUGCCUACUGCUGCGCUGGCGCAUGCUUCUCAGCGGGCCCCCUUCCUCUCCACACACCCACGCCUGCGAAAGGCCUGUGGGCUCAGCAGAGGGCGGGAUGUCCCCUGCUGCCUUGCCACACACGCAUAGCGGCGCCCCACCUGUGGGACGGCACGUGUGGUCAAGCGGGCCAGCCACGCCCUCUCCCCCACCCCCAGGCAGCAGCGUCGUCCUGAAACAGGCACCGAGGGCGCAGGAAUGCGAGCACUGUGCGCAGGUGCUGCCAAGCACAGCCGGCAUGCCGUAUCACACCCAGACAAGGCAUGCGCACGUGAGCAGAGCAGGAGCGAUGGGCGAACAAGGCGCGAGGAGACCCAAUAUACGAAUCAGCCGCCCCCCCUACUCGGCGCAUGUGUGCGGAGCGUGCGGUGACCUCUACGUCCGGCCGGGCCUGCGCUGAUGAGGCGCAGAUGCCGGAAGCAUGACGGGGGCACCCUCGAAUGGCACCAGCGAGUCCUCCAGACGCGCAUGAGGCGAGUCCCCACGCCACAUUACGGCAUGCCGCGGCUUGUGGCGACCGAGGGAGAGGCAUGGCAUGCAGGCAGGGCGUGCAAGGUCUCGGAGGGCCCUGGCCUGCGUGUGGCCGACUUCCUUGCUGCGCUCGCCCGGCAUGCCCCCUUGAUCGCCACCCCCUUCUACCCGCACGGCAGACGCCACGGCCUCCGCCCACGAGCGGGACCCUGAAGGCGGCCCUGCUUGGAUCAGGGCAUGCGGUCCACCCAUGCGCGUGUGCCGCCGGGUGGCGCGGCAUGCGUGCGGGGGAGGGCAAGAGAAGCCGAUGGGACGCAUGGCCCGAUUUCGACGGCAGAACUGCUCGUCCUGGUCGACGCGGAUGUGGCGGCAGUGCGACAGGGUGGCGUGUGAGCUGUGGUUGAAUGAUAUAUUUGCCGACAUGUACGUGGUUAAGUGAGAUUU